rnacentral:lncRNA from 1 species
UGGGCUCAACAGUAGGAGUGACAUGUUCUUCUUCCCCGACUGCAGAUCUUAUUUCAGCAAUCAAAAUUAUGACCUGCCUUCUACAAGUCAGAAUUUGCUCAAGUCUCUCUAUGUGCUAUGAAUCCAUCUUGAUCGUGAUGAAUAAUCAGUACAAAAGAAGAUCUGUGGCUACCUCUACAGAUCUGUGGCUACCUGUGCUUUUAAAGUAUAAAUUUAAAGGAGAAAAAAAUAAAAAACCAUCGCAAAGUAAUUAAAAUCUCGAAGAUACCAUCGUUUGAGUAGUUCCAUCAGUUAUAUCCAUCUGUGUUAGUCACGUUAAGCUAAC